UGGGGAAUUUUGGACAAUGGGCGAAAGCCUGAUCCAGCAAUGCCGCGUGUGUGAAGAAGGCCUUCGGGUUGUAAAGCACUUUUGUCCGGAAAGAAAUCCUUGGCUCUAAUACAGUCGGGGGAUGACGGUACCGGAAGAAUAAGCACCGGCUAACUACGUGCCAGCAGCCGCGGUAAUACGUAGGGUGCAAGCGUUAAUCGGAAUUACUGGGCGUAAAGCGUGCGCAGGCGGUUUGCUAAGACCGAUGUGAAAUCCCCGGGCUCAACCUGGGAACUGCAUUGGUGACUGGCAGGCUAGAGUAUGGCAGAGGGGGGUAGAAUUCCACGUGUAGCAGUGAAAAUGCGUAGAGAUGUGGAGGAAUACCGAUGGCGAAGGCAGCCCCCUGGGCAACACUGACGCUCAUGCACGAAAGCGUGGGGAGCAAACAGGAUUAGAUACCCUGGUAGUCCACGCCCUAAAACGAUGUCAACUAGUUGUUGGGGGAUUCAUUUCCUUAGUAACGUAGCUAACGCGUGAAGUUGACCGCCUGGGGAGUACGGUCG
rnacentral:rRNA from 1 species